AUCAGUCGUAGGUGUAUCGUGGCCUGUUGUUGGAGCUCUGUCGGCGUUCUUGGCACAGUUUGUGUUCAUCUUUUAUUACGAGCAGAGCUCACACAAUUUUCCAGUUUUGAAUUUUUUCAGAUAUUUGAACCAUAUUAAAAUUUACGUCGUAUAAGUUUCCAAUUUAGUACAUGGCACACGGAAAUUUUUUUGCUUAAAUAACAUGCUUCUAAGGUUCAUUUUAUUAUCGGGACUAUUUUUUUAACGGUCGAAAUACAAUGACGGAUUCAAGAUUAAGGCCCAAUAUUCGAAUUAUACGUUACAAAAAUUCACUGGAAAUUUAGCCGCGCACUUUGUCUGCAAAGCAACAAAGGAAGCUUCUCGAAGUUGUCAAAGCUUGCUUCCAGAGAAUUCACUAAAGCCUCCAAGAAUACAUAACACUAAAUGUACGCAAUCGUAUUUAAGAAGCAACGAACGGAGAAGAAAACAGUCUUGUUGAAUUACUCAAGUGAAACUAGUGUCAGUAACAUCUGUGAAAGUCGAACUCGUCUGAAGGAAUCCCUGCAAGGUGUCGAUUAAAUUCAUGUUGCAGUUGUUUCUCAUUGAGGAUCGGUACAAUAUUCAGUGGAAUAUGUUGCAUAGUA